rnacentral:rRNA from 1 species
GAUGAACGCUGGCGGCGUGCCUAAUACAUGCAAGUCGAGCGAACGGACGAGAAGCUUGCUUCUCUGAUGUUAGCGGCGGACGGGUGAGUAAAACGUGGAUAACCUACCUAUAAGACUGGGAUAACUUCGGGAAACCGGAGCUAAUACCGGAUAAUAUUUUGAACCGCAUGGUUCAAAAGUGAAAGACGGUCUUGCUGUCACUUAUAGAUGGAUCCGCGCUGCAUUAGCUAGUUGGUAAGGUAACGGCUUACCAAGGCAACGAUGCAUAGCCGACCUGAGAGGGUGAUCGGCCACACUGGAACUGAGACACGGUCCAGACUCCUACGGGAGGCAGCAGUAGGGAAUCUUCCGCAAUGGGCGAAAGCCUGACGGAGCAACGCCGCGUGAGUGAUGAAGGGCUUCGGAUCGUAAAACUCUGUUAUUAGGGAAGAACAUAUGUGUAAGUAACAGUGCACAUCUUGACGGUACCUAAUCAGAAAGCCACGGCUAACUACGUG